rfam:Loxodonta africana unplaced genomic scaffold scaffold_65, whole genome shotgun sequence.
CAGUGUACAUCAUGGUGAUCAGAUGGCAUGAGGAUCAGGAGAAAUGGAGCCCAUGGCCAGUGUGAGGUGUAGCAGUGCAGGAGGGCAGACCCUGAAGGAGGAAGCCCACCUAAAUUGAUACCUGCAGACUGAAUUUCCAGAGGCUUUUUUUUUUUUUUUAGGAGGAGGCAGUUCUCCA